AUCUUUUUUUGACCUUUCGAUACAGUGUUAUAUCUGUUAAAAAAUCUAACGAAAAUCAAGUGUUUUGCAUUCAUAUUGAACCAUGUUAGUUUCGUCUAUCUUUUAACCUUUUCCAUUGGGAUUGCAUUGCUCUUUUGAAUGAGAGAUUGUUUAGGUCCAUGCAAGACAUGUUCCAAUCUUUUAAGUUGUCAUGUCCUUAUUUUGUUCUUAAUUGGUGUGACCUCGACGUGUGGUGUAUAUUUUGAUUCCUUAUUAAUUGCCAAACUUAAAUUACUAAAUAAUCUCUCUUUGAGACAAUAUGAGAUGUCCUGCUAUGAUAAAAAUAACAUUCUUUUUACUUAUCUUAACUUAUCGUAUAACUUACGCUAGGACAAGAAUCCCUUGAAUUUAGGAUUGAUGGGAAGAUAUUUUAAUUAAGCUAAUGGAUGCUCAAGCAGCACAAGAACAUUUGGGUAAAAUAUAAUCCUUAAUUUUUCUUCAUUACACAAUCACAGAGCAUGCUUCUUUGCUUAAACUUUUGUUCAAGCCAUCUUUUUUACGUUUAUAUUUUUAUGUGAUUUUCUUUUUUGGUGGGGGUGGCUUCCUUGGAGCUUUGUCAUACAAUUCCUGUGGUGACAUAGAUGCUGAUUCUGGCAUUGAUUUUGAAAUAUAAUGCUCAGUAAUCACAUCCAAGACGCAAAUUCUGGGGAAAAAAAAUAACUGCUGCUGAUUUUGAUUACAGGCCCAACGCUCAUCCUUUCAUGUUGGAAAAUAUUGUUAUUCUUGUUUUACAACAGCUUUGGGCUAAUUGCUACUUGUGUUCAGAUCGAGUAUGUUUGUUUUGACGCUCGCUUUGUUUUCUGCAGAUGAAUCAUCUCGGCAUCUGAUAUUCUUGGUGAAUGAAGAUUUCUUUCACGCAGAGACAGAUCUUUUCUUUGCGCUUUCUUUCCUUUUAAUUUAAUAAUCACCAGGAUGUUCAUUUUGAUCGGGUUAAUGUUUUGAAUUUUCUUAGUGGUAGAAAUGGUCGUGUUUGCUUCUAUUUUAUUUUACUUCUUUGGGACUGAAUCAAACUUGGUUGGGGAUUCUGUUAUCUAAAUCUUUUCUCGAUGGAUGACAGAAAAUAAUCAAUCUUAAUUGAUGAUUGGGACAUAAAAUUAUUGGAUAAAUUUUCUGACUUGAUUAUGAAUA
rnacentral:lncRNA from 1 species